GCUUGGAGCCGCAGGGCUUAAUCCCGCGCGGCUCAGAGAUGGGUUUCUGGACUCGCGAAGCAGCUGCAACAAGGCAUCACUCACUGUAUAAGUAUUUCCAUUUCUGAGAGCAAAAGGAAGAACUUAAGCGGGCGGCACUUGGAGUGUAAAUUGCUUUGUAGUAUUUAAAGGCAGAAUGGAUCCUGGGCAGCCGAGCUGAUCAUGAGGUUCCUGAGGCCUCCUAGCCAUGCUUCCUGUGCAGCCUAUGGAACUGAUCACUGUUGUAUUUUUAAACCUUAUUCCUGGAAGCACUACGGAUAUCAGAUCAAUUUAGAAAGCCAAAGAGUACCUCUGGGAAUGAAAUGGUAGUAAUAGAAACAAUAUUUGGCCAAACUAUCGCUGUAUGCCAAUGAUGCCAAAAAUCACAGUAACCUGGCAGCAACAAACCGGCAGGACUUCCUGUGAAAUCAUGACCACCAUGUGCUCUUUCAGCCUCUAUCAGUUCCUACCUCUAAGCACCUGAGAGCCAAAGCAAACCACAGGAAACCACAGCUAGAACAAAAAUGCUGACCUUUUCAUGAGUAAGGGGGGAAGUCCUCCUGCCUGACUACCUUUGAACUGGGACAUGUGCCUUUUUUUUCUGCCUUCAGACUCAAACUAAACGUCAGCUUUUCCCGGCUCUCAAGCCUGCUGGUCCCUGAACUAAAACUCACAUUAUCAACUCUACUGGUUCUUAGGCCUUUGGAGUCAGACUGGAACUACAGCAUUGACUCUUCCGGAACUCCAGCUUACUGACUACAGAUCUUGGAACUUUUCAGCUUCCACAACCAUGAAUGAAAGCCAAGCAUAUUCCAUCAUUUCCUAAAACCAAGAUAGAGCACAUAUGGGAACUUGUGAAAUAAGGAUGCCCUGCGGUUGUUUUCAGGACUGAAGACAACAGCUCCACGAUGUAUCUUUGCAUAAGAAUACACUUGUAUAAUAAGUUUUUUUUUUUAGAGAAAUUGCAUGUAUCUGCCUUAUAAACUUUUUCAUUCAUUCAUUUUCUU
rnacentral:lncRNA from 10 species